GAAGUCGGCUUGAAUGCUGCUGGGGCUCAUUGUCCAAACCUCUGGAAAAAGCUGCUUCCAAGUUCUUACUUAACAUUUGUUUUUUGUGGAGACUUCGAAGUUAUGUUUCUAGCUUGACAAUGUAAAAAGAUACAUACGAAUAAAUUCCGUUACAAAUUCAGUAACAAGAAAUCUAGAAUUGGAUUGCUAUUGGGAGAUUGGUACUCAGGUCCACUUGUGCGAAUGAAAAUUUGAGAAAUUCAGAUGGAUACCUAAUUGUAGUUGGUACUUGGUAGUAGCAUUUCUUAUGUCGGAUGUUGGAUUCUAAUGUGUAUGCCUUGUUAAAGAUGUAGUACUAUGACUAUGAGUGACAACUGCAAUGCUUUUGUGAUUU